rnacentral:rRNA from 1 species
AGUAACACAUGAUCAACUUACCCUACAGAGAAAAAUAACCUCGGGAAACUGAGGAUAAUGUUUCAUAGUUGAAUAGGCUUGGAAAAGUUUUUCAAUAAAAGGGAUAAGGAAAAUGGUCNUUAUCCGCUAUAGGAUAGGAUCGUGUUCGAUUAUGGUUGUUGGUGAGGUAACGGCUCACCAAGCCGAUAAUCGAUAGGGGCCGUGAGAGCGGGAGCCCCGAGAUGGGUACUGAGACAACGACCCAGGCCUUACGAGGCGCAGCAGGCGCGGAACCUCCGCAAUACACGAAAGUGUGACGGGGUUACCCAAAGUGCUCUUUCUAGAGCUGUGGUAGGUGAGUAAUGUUCCCUACUAGAAAGGAGAGGGCAAGGCUGGUGCCAGCCGCCGCGGUAAAACCAGCUCUUCAAGUGGUCGGGUUAAUUAUUGGGCUUAAAGUGUCCGUAGCCGGUUUAGAAAGUUCCUGGUAAAAUCGGGUAGCUUAACUAUCCGUAUGCUAGGAAUACUGCUAUACUAGAGGGCGGGAGAGGUCUGAGGUACUACAGGGGUAGGGGUGAAAUCUUGUAAUCCUUGUAGGACCACCAGUGGCGAAGGCGUCAGACUGGAACGCGCCUGACGGUGAGGGACGAAAGCCAGGGGAGCGAACCGGAUUAGAUACCCGGGUAGUCCUGGCCGUAAACGGUGCAUACUAGGUGAUGGCACGGCCAUGAGCCGUGUCAGUGCCGUAGGGAAACCGUUAAGUGUGCCGCCUGGGAAGUACGGUCGCAAGGCUAAAACUUAA